GGGGGGUUGGGGGGACUCAGCCCGGAUUGCGAGAGAGCGCAGGCCAGGCUGAGGGAUCUCACCAGUGCAUG
rfam:Myotis lucifugus cont2.1512, whole genome shotgun sequence.